rnacentral:rRNA from 1 species
UACGGGGGGGGUAAGCGUUGUUCGGAAUUACUGGGCGUAAAGGGCUCGUAGGCGGCCAACUAAGUCGGACGUGAAAUCCCUCAGCUUAACUGGGGAACUGCGUCCGAUACUGGAUGGCUUGGAUUUGGGAGAGGGGUGCGGAAUUCCAGGUGUAGCGGUGAAAUGCGUAGAUAUCUGGAGGAACACCGGUGGCGAAGGCGGCAUCCUGGACCAAUAUUGACGCUGAGGAGCGAAAGCCAGGGGAGCAAACGGG